GAAGCACAGAAGAUUACAUACUUUUUUACAUUCACAUAAACGGAACUGAAGAACGAUAUGAUGAGACUGAUUUCCCAGACAGCAGCUGCUGUGAUCACUGUGUGCAUCGUCUCCGUUAUGUCAGUGCCUGCAGCGAACAUAGAGGAGUGGAAAUCUCUCAGCAACCCACAGAACAGAGCUCUGUUUUUCCAGAUUCUACAAUCAUAUCUUGAAAGUAGAGACAUGAACUCACUGGAAAAGCAGCAGCAGGACUUCGACAGCAGACUCCCAGUAUCCAACUUGGAAAAUUACCAGCUUCAUUUUCCAAACAACAUAUAUGACGUUUAGUUAAAACCAAUUAUAAUUGUAAUGUAGGUCUACCGUGUGUUUUUUGUGUGUGUCUUGUAUGAUGUUAGAUGUUUGUGCAACAAGUGUUCAUUAUAUUUUAUGCAGACUUAAUAAAUAAUUGAUUGCCAUGCG